rnacentral:tRNA from 1 species
GGAGAGGUGGCUCAGUGGUUAAGAGCACUGGCUGCUCUUCCAGAGAUCCUGAGUUCAAUUCCCAGCAACCACA